rnacentral:rRNA from 1 species
UACGAAGGGGGCUAGCGUUGUCCGGAGUUACUGGGCGUAAAGGGUGCGCAGGCGGUGGCCCGCGUGGGCGGUGAAAGCUCCUGGCUCAACUGGGAGAGGGCCGUCCAGACGGGGUCACUUGAGAGGCGGAGAGGGGCGUGGAAUUCCUGGUGUAGCGGUGAAAUGCGCAGAUAUCGGGAAGAACACCCGUGGCGAAGGCGGCACUCUGGGACGGUACUGACGCUGAGACGCGAAAGCGUGGGGAGCGAACAGG